UACAGAGGGUGCGAGCGUUAAUCGGAAUUACUGGGCGUAAAGCGUGCGUAGACGGUUUCGUAAGUCGGGUGUGAAAUCCCCGGGCUCAACCUGGGAAUUGCAUUCGAAACUGCGAGGCUAGGGUACGGAAGAGGGAAGCGGAAUUUCUGGUGUAGCGGUGAAAUGCGCAGAUAUCAGGAGGAACACCAAUUGCGAAGGCAGCUCGCUGGGACGUUACUGACGCUGAGACGCGAAAGCGUGGGGAGCAAACAGG
rnacentral:rRNA from 1 species